AAAAAAAAGUUUAAAAAAUACAAAAAAUUGAAAAACAUAUAAGACCUAACAAUAUAAAAAGUCUGACAAAAAAUUAAAAAAGAGAAAAGUUAAUGCAAAAUAGAAAAAGUAUGAGAAUUUAAAAACGCAAAUAAGAAAUGAAAGGAAAUUUGUGGAAAAAAAAAGCAAGAAAAGAAUAAAAAUGAAAAGACAAAAGAUUUGGAAUAAAAAACAGAAAAAUAAAAAUUUUUAAAACAAGGAAAAAAUGAAAGCAUAUGAAAAAAAGCAAAAAGAAGGAAAAUUGUGAAGGGAAAAAGUUAUUAAACAUUACAAAGCAGAAAAAAAAUAAAAAAUAAAAAAAAAUUUUGAACCUAAUAAAAAUUUUUUAAAAUAUAAAUAAAAUAUAAAUGAAAAAAUAAAUUAAGAGAAAAAAUUAAAUAAGAUGCCCAAAAAGGAAAAAAUAAAAAAAAAACAAAAAGAAAAAAGUAACAAAGUAAGAAAAUAAAAAAUUGGCGAAUAAAAAAAAAUAUAAAAAGACAAAAUGAAUAAAAAUUUCAAAUAUAAAAUGGAAAAAACUUUUAGUUUAGAAUGUACAAAAAAAAAUAUAACAAAUAGAGGACAAAGAUAUAAAAUAUGAAAGAUGAAAAAUAAAGUAAAAGCUAAUAAAAACUAAAAAGAAAAGAAAGUGCACAAAAAAAGAAGUUUGAGGUUUUAAAAUUAUAAAGAAGAAAUAACAAAAAGUGUGAACAAAAAGAUUUAAGAAAAAAAAUAAAAAUACAAAAUACAUAAAAUAAAAUUUGAGAAAAAAAUAAAAAAAUGAAGAGGUAAAAAA
rnacentral:lncRNA from 1 species